AGACUGAACGCUGGCGGCAUGCCUAACACAUGCAAGUCGAACGGCAGCACAGCCCCGCAAGGGGUGGGUGGCGAGUGGCGGACGGGUGAGGAAUACAUCGGAAUCUGCCCUGUUGUGGGGGAUAACCCAUCGAAAGGUGGGCUAAUACCGCAUGAGACGGUGACGUGAAAGCGGGGGACCUGUGAGGGCCUCGCGCGACGGGAUGAGCCGAUGUCGGAUUAGCUAGUUGGUAGGGUAAAGGCCUACCAAGGCUACGAUCCGUAGCUGGUCUGAGAGGAUGAUCAGCCACACUGGGACUGAGACACGGCCCAGACUCCGUACGGGAGGCAGCAGGUGGGAAUAGUUGGACAAGUGGGCGCAAGCCUGAUCCAGCAAUGCCGCGUGUGUGAAGAAGGUCCGUUCGGUUAGUAAAGCUACUUUUAGUACGGGAGACGAAAAGGCGGACGGUAGAAGUACGUCCCGG
rnacentral:rRNA from 1 species